rnacentral:lncRNA from 1 species
GAUGUGAAAAUAUGAUGUUUUAUUAUAUCAGAAAGAUAUACAAGGAUACAUCUCAAGAACAUGUAGAGCUACUAGCAAAAUCUCAACUACUGAAGUGAAAAUAUGAUGUUUAUUAUAUCAGAAAGAUAUACUAGGAUACAUCUCAAGAACACGUAUAGCUACUAGUUCAUGAACGUCCUCCAACUUGUACAAUAGAACAGAACAACACAUAACAGAACAUGUCAUAAAACAGAACCAUUUUCAGCUUUCCACCCUUUAAUCAACUUCCUCAAUCUUGGGCCCAGCACCGGUGUUGCCAGAGCUAGCCUUGCCAUAACCAGCUCCCGGCAUCUCUGCACCACUAGCACCGCCCAUUGGCACAUCUCCACCAGCACCACCAGCACCCUGGUACAUCUUAGAAAUAAUGGGAUUGCACAAAUCCUCAAGCUCCUUCAAUUUGUCUUCAAGUUCAUCCACUUCAGCCAACUGGUUCCGGUCCAACCACUCAAUA